rnacentral:rRNA from 1 species
UUAGCUAGUUGGUGGGGUAACGGCUCACCAAGGCGACGAUCCGUAGCUGGUUUGAGAGGACGACCAGCCACACUGGGACUGAGACACGGCCCAGACUCCUACGGGAGGCAGCAGUGGGGAAUUUUGGACAAUGGGGGAAACCCUGAUCCAGCCAUCCCGCGUGUGCGAUGAAGGCCUUCGGGUUGUAAAGCACUUUUGGCAGGAAAGAAACGUCGUGGGUUAAUACCCCGCGAAACUGACGGUACCUGCAGAAUAAGCACCGGCUAACUACGUGCCAGCAGCCGCGGUAAUACGUAGGGUGCAAGCGUUAAUCGGAAUUACUGGGCGUAAAGCGUGCGCAGGCGGUUCGGAAAGAAAGAUGUGAAAUCCCAGAGCUUAACUUUGGAACUGCAUUUUUAACUACCGGGCUAGAGUGUGUCAGAGGGAGGUGGAAUUCCGCGUGUAGCAGUGAAAUGCGUAGAUAUGCGGAGGAACACCGAUGGCGAAGGCAGC